CGUGUAGGCGGCUGGAUAAGUCAGAUGUGAAAGCCCCUGGGCUUAACCCCAGGAAGUGCAUUUGAAACUGUUCAGCUUGAGUAGGGGAGAGGAAAGUGGAAUUCCUGGUGUAGAGGUGAAAUUCGUAGAUAUCAGGAGGAACACCGGUGGCGAAGGCGACUUUCUGGCCCUAUACUGACGCUGAGACGCGAGAGCGUGGGUAGCAAACA
rnacentral:rRNA from 1 species